rnacentral:rRNA from 1 species
UACGUAGGGGGGCAAGCGUUGUCCGGAUUUAUUGGGCGUAAAGAGCGUGUAGGCGGCCAGACAGGUCAGCUGUGAAAACUCGAGGCUCAACCUCGAGACGUCGGUUGAAACCGUCUGGCUAGAGUCGGAAGAGGAGAGUGGAAUUCCCGGUGUAGCGGUGAAAUGCGCAGAUAUCGGGAAGAACACCCGUGGCGAAGGCGGCUCUCUGGGACGGUACUGACGCUGAGACGCGAAAGCGUGGGGAGCGAACAGG